UUUUCCUCUACCCGCCUGGCUUUUUCAUAUCUCGGUCUCCACAAAGGUCUCCUGGUUCUCCUAGUUCUCCCCCUUCCAUCGCCCUCAUCUCUUUCCACGGAUACCGCGGCGGAGGCGGAGAAGAGGGCGUUAUUGGGUUGGAGAAACCAUUGGCAUUAGCGAAGAAAUCAUGGGAUUGACUAUCUUAGCUGCUGGCACCUCCAUUCCUGACCUUAUUACCAGUGUUAUUGUGGCACGCAAAGGUCUGGGGGACAUGGCUGUAUCCAGUUCUGUCGGAAGCAACAUCUUUGACAUCACAGUGGGUCUUCAAAAAGAGCAAGAAAGAGGACCCAGGGAACUACAGGCUGGGAACUGACCUGCUGGAGAGCAGCUCCGCGGAGAAGGACCUGGGAGUCCUGGUGGACAACAAGUUGACCGUGAGCCAGCAACGUGCCCUUGUGGCCAAGAAGGCCAACAGCAUCCUGGGCUGCAUUAGGAAGAGCGUUCCCAGCAGGUCAAGGGAGGUGAUCCUUCCCCUCUCCUCAGCCCUGAUGAGGCCACACCUGGAGUGCUGUGUCCAGUUCUGGGCUCCCCAGUACAAGAGAGAGACAUGGAGCUACUGGAGCAAGUCCAGAGAAGGGCUACUAAGAUGAUGAAGGGACUGGAGCAUCUCUCAUGUGAGGAAAGGCUGAGAGAGCUGGGACUGUUCAGCCUGGAGAAGAGAAGACCGAGGGGGGAUCUUACCAAUAUUUAUAAGUAUCUGAAGGGAGGGUGUAAAGAGGACGGGGCCAGACUCUUUUCAGUGGUGCCCAGUGACAGGAUGAGAGGCAAUGGGCACAAACUGGAACACAGGCAGUUCCAUCUGAACAUGAGGAAAAACUUCUUUACUGAGGGUGACAGAGCACUGGACCAGGUUGCCCAGAGAGGUUGUGGAAUCUCCAUCCUUGGAGAUAUUCAAAAGCCGUCUGGACACAAUCCUGGGCAACGUGCUCUAGGUGACCCUGCUUGAGCAGGGGGGUUGGACUAGAUGAUCUCCAGAGGUCCCUUCCAUCCUCAACCAUUCUGUGAUUUCCAAAAGUACACAUGCUUUAGUUUCAAGCAAGUAUAAGCAAAUUUUGUUUUUGCAAAACCCAAGUGCAUAUAUAUGGGCAGUAAAACAAAAAAACAAGAUGUUGCCUAUCUAGGAAAAAAUAAAAUAAAAUUAUCAAAUAAAGAUGGAAAAUAAAAGAGACCUUUAAUAUUUCUAGGCUAAAACAUCUAGAAAGACCUAUUCAUUAGUCAAUUCAAUUAAACCCCACCUAAACCAAAUUAACAUAGCCCUCAACUUUUGCCAAAGCAAAUUCAUUUUUACAAAACAUUAAUAUGUUUUGUUUAAUAACAUAAAAUUAAUAAAUGCAUCAGGACUAGGAGCAGUGUGAAUUGAGGCUUGUCAAAUCUUUAAAUUAUCUUUUUAAAUUAUAAUAUAUAAUAAUAUACAAUAAGAUCAUUUAAAUUAUCUUUUAAAUCUAUUCCCUUUAUUUAGAGUCUACAAAUACUGAAAUCGUUGCAAUUCAGAAAGCAUACAGCAGCAAAUAGAUAAGGAAAAGGGAGUCCUAGCUGGUGAUGCUCAAGCUCUCUUCUCAAUGGCUGUCUAGCCUUGCAUAGAAAAAAAUAAAGUACUGGCACUAGAGAAAUCCAGUCAAGUUCUGUUAAAGCCAAAUGACUGAAUAAUAGCUAUUGAAUUGGCAGGUUUGAAAUACAAAAGCUAAGCUAAUCUGAAAGAGUUAGUACCCUUUACUGCAGAGUAAAGAAAACCUGAAGGGUUUUUUUUGUUUUGUUUUUUUUCUCCUCGCAGAUUACAGAAAUGGUUGGAGAGCUGUGGGACUUGAACCAAAAAAAACCCCACUUGAUUGAAAACUGGUUAUAGGAGAAUGAAAAGGCCAGUAAUUCAGCCCAUUCCUAACAGCAAAGUAUCUGGCAGCAGUUACUGGAGGGAAAUAGGCAGAAAGGAGCACAGACCCAGGUUUAAUUCACUGGAAGUCACCACACCUGACACUCCCAGCAAUUUGCUAAAUCUUGUGCCUAGUUUCACUAUUGAUUGUAGGAAUUUGAUACCAUCUUUCCUGAUGGCUUCUAGCACUGUAGCAAUUACCAAGCUGAUGAGCAUGCAUGUAAGUGUAUGUGUUCUUGUGACUCCUGUGCAUUUAAUCACAGGUAAGAACAAAAAACUAAAUAAAAGAAAAAAAAUCCAGUUUCACUCUGUGCCAAAUGUGUAUCUACCUCAGGAAUAUCACUAGCUAGCAUACAGAAUUAGGAAAUACAGGACAAGCCCUGUUUGAGAGUGGCAGAACCACAGAGCUUCCUCUUAGUUCCGUAAGAAAUGUGGAGAGCUGUCACUGUACAGACCACAUGGUUCUUUCUGAAGGGAGCUGCCAGUGCUGAGAGCCAGCCAUGGCUCUUAGUUUGACUGAACAGCUAUGUAAAGAUUCCACUGUUGCUUCACAGUGGAACAAGGCAAAGAAUGAAUUCCUCAGUUUUGCUUUCCUUGUGAUUUCCAUGAAUCUAACAUCCCCCUAAAAAGAAAAUACAGUUGCUCUGAGGCCAAUGCUCAGGCAUGUUGGCUUCUUAGGGCCAGAUCCUCUGUUCUCAGUGACUUUCAAACUUCUGCUAAUGUUAAUGAAAGUUUGGUGGAGAAAUUAUUCAGGAGUGGAGAUGUGAUGAGGGCAUUUGUUCAUUCAGCUAUGUUUGUCCACGCUCCUACACAGUCUCAGCCAGUUUGAUAAGAGAGCUCACCAGGAUUAAAAUGGAUGCAUCUUAUUUAAAAUUUGCAAGACUCAUCAAAACAUAGUUCUAGGCCAGCAUUCAAAAUGACAGUAACUACAGGAGUGGCCUGUCAGCAUAUCUACUUCAUGACACCUUCCCUCACACUAAAGGUACCUCUUCACAGAUGAGUUGCAUUUCCUUGAAAAGUCUUGGCUUUCAGAUUUCAUUGAAGUGAAAUAUUUAGAAAAAGCCACCACCUGCUCCAUUUAAAAGUGCACAUACUCUGCUAGCCACUCUGCAAAUCUCUGCCAACAGAACCCUGGUAACAGUAUUCAGCCUAAGCACAAAAAGACAGUCUAAUUCAGAUGAGCUCAGUGAUGCUUUCAGCAUUACUUCUUUAAAAGGAAAUAUUGUAAUGAAUACACUGAGAAGCCUGAAACUCCAUAAAAUCCUAUAUCUUCCUUUCUACAUACAAAUAAAGCUAGAUCAGCUGCUGAAAGAUCAGUAGGGGGAGGUUCAUACUAGCAGAAACCAUCAUCCUUGUUCUUUUGAUGUUUUAACAAAAUCAGAUCUGUAGGAGAGUGUGUCCUGAUGCUGCACGAAAAGGCCUAGUGUUUUGAGCCUGUGUAUUAACUGAUAAUUGCAAGUAAUUCCACCACUAUGAGCAUCUAGUUUUCUGAAAGUUGAGGGAGAGGGGAGAAGAAGAAAGGGGAGGGAGAAGAAGGGAAAGGCUCUAGGUGUUGUUUUGGUCUCCUCCAGCACAACUGCCAUAGCUAUUCUGAAUAAAAGGUUCUCAGAGAGACAAAAGGGCCCACUAAAGAAAAGAGAAACCACUAUGCUCCUUUCAGUCAGGCCACCAUGCCCUUCAGUCAGUCUAGGGAAAGGCCUACCAGAGCACCACCUCUCUUCUCCUUCCCUUUUUGAGCCACUAGUUUAUACUCUUUGGCUAAUUACCAGCUCCUGUGGCCUGUUUUGUUACAGAGUGGGUCCCUCAAGGACCUGUAUAUUCUGUUACAGAGGGUAUUCACACUACUUGGCUUUAGACAGCUGACUUAGUAUGUCUGUCUCCUGCACCCCCUCUCUAUGGAAAAAGUCUAUGGAAAGAGCUGGGCUCCUCUGGAGAACAGGUCAGAGCCCUCCAGAAAGGUUAAGUUCACAGAACUGUCCUCUGGUGAAUCCUCUUUACCUCUCUACUAACUACAGAAGUAGGAAACUAGCCUCAUAAAUUAGAUGUCAAAAUCUAUCAAAGUUCAACAUCUAAGGUACCAUUUAGGUGAACAGUGCCACAGAUCAAGCAUCACUUCAGUAACAAUAAAGGGACUCCACUUAUGGAAUUCCUUCACUCUACCAGGACAGCAAACUCAUUCUUUGUAGUUCAUGAAUUAAGAUGGUGGGAGGUUGCCAACAAUGGCACCUGGCAACAUCACAGUACAGGAUGCAGUUUCUCCUCAGGGAGGCAGGAUGAAAAGAGAAGAAUUAUUUAGAGAGGUUUGUCCUAGAGCAGACUUUAAGAGACAGCAGAUAAAUUUGCUGAAGCACUGUAAGGCAACUUAUACAUUCAAAUAAACAGGCUCACUCAAUCAUCUUCCACCUGUAUAAAAGCUGCCAGCUCUGGGGGGUAGAGACCUUUAGCAAUACCUAGGAGAUUGGGUCAUGGACCAGAACUCUAGGAAGCUAUGUGCUUUCCAAACACAGAGUAAAAAGGCUGCUCCUAACUCAAGAACAAGUAGGAAACAUUCGCAAUGAAUGGUAGUGGGGAUGAUGUACGUAAUGUUAAUGAAUGCUUUCAUAGACCUUAGAAUGUUUUAUAAGUUUUAGGCUUUUAGCCACAGUUAGGUCAAAAAGAGCUAUCAAGAAAAGAAAAAUAAAUGGUUAUAAACAAAGGACUGUAAAAGAAGCAAACUUCACCUGCACAGCUAGAACUGACCACAGAGCAAAAUCAGACCAGGUAAUCACGGUGUAUAAAAUUAGGCUAGGAAGUCCUUAAUCUGCCUAGGAACAAGAUGACAAAUGCAAUACAUCCACUUACCAUAUCUGUAAUAAUGCAGUUUUAUAUUAGUGAUUAGAUAGUAAAAGAAUGGCUCUUCUCUAGAGCAGUGUUCCUCUGGAAAUGAACUCCUGUUCAUGCUGAGGUUCUCAUCUGCAAAUGCAAAAAGACCCUUGCAACUUAAGAUCUCAAGCUUGGCCUUGAUUUAUCCAACCUAUUAGUGUUUCUUAACAUUUUAAGACACAACUAUUUUGGUAUUAAAAUUCUUUCCUAUUAAGUUUAUAAAAAAAUAUGAUACUUAUGUAUUUCUUUCGUGCAAUAGUUUGUUUUUGUUUCUUGUAUUUCAUGAUUGAUAUUUUCAGUAAAAUUCUUUUCAAAUCAGUUCUCUGGAAGACUUUCUGGAACCACCAGACAUUUGACACACACACAUUUUCAUUCACACCAAUGUUAAUAUUUCUGUUAUACAUCUGCAAGGGAAGCUUCUCUACUUACAUGUUUUAAGGGAAGGGCAGAGGAAGCUAGAGCCAGAAAUUGUGUGUUGUCUGCAACAUAUCCCCUUCUUCAAAUAUGCACAGCUUAAUAUCAGUGGACUCCCCUUGAAUGGUUACGAGAAGCUCUAUUGAAAGCUUGCUUUGUCAACAGUCAUGUCGUCCAGACAAGAGAAAGAUUAAGAAAGAGAGAAAAAGAGAGAAAAAGAGGGAGAGAAGGAGAAAGACAGGGAAAGAGAGAGAGAAAU